rnacentral:rRNA from 1 species
GGGAAAGGUGAAAAGAACCCCGGGAGGGGAGUGAAAUAGAACAUGAAACCUUAAGCUUACAAGCAGUAGGAGGACGACUUAUCGUUUGACUGCGUGCCUGUUGAAGAAUGAGCCGGCGACUUAUAGUUAGUGGCAGGUUAAGGUAGAGAAUACUGGAGCCACAGUGAAAGCGAGCUUUAAUAGAGCGUGUGUCACUAGUUAUAGACCCGAACCCGGAUGAUCUAACCAUGGCCAGGAUGAAGCCUAGGUAAUACUAUGUGGAGGUCCGAACCGACUGAUGUUGAAAAAUCAGCGGAUGAGUUGUGGUUAGGGGUGAAAUACCAAUCGAAUUCGGAGCUAGCUGGUUCUCCCCGAAAUGUGUUUAGG